rnacentral:rRNA from 1 species
AUUGAACGCUGGCGGCAUGCUUUACACAUGCAAGUCGAACGGCAGCGGGGGCUUCGGCCUGCCGGCGAGUGGCGAACGGGUGAGUAAUGCAUCGGAACGUGCCCAGUCAUGGGGGAUAACUACGCGAAAGCGUAGCUAAUACCGCAUACGCCCUGAGGGGGAAAGUGGGGGAUCUUCGGACCUCACGUGAUUGGAGCGGCCGAUGUCAGAUUAGCUAGUUGGUGAGGUAAAGGCUCACCAAGGCGACGAUCUGUAGCGGGUCUGAGAGGAUGAUCCGCCACACUGGGACUGAGACACGGCCCAGACUCCUACGGAGGCAGCAGUGGGGAAUUUUGGACAAUGGGCGCAAGCCUGAUCCAGCCAUGCCGCGUGAGUGAAGAAGG